rnacentral:rRNA from 1 species
GAUGAACGCUGGCGGCGUGCCUAAUACAUGCAAGUCGAGCGAACAGACGAGGAGCUUGCUCCUCUGACGUUAGCGGCGGACGGGUGAGUAACACGUGGAUAACCUACCUAUAAGACUGGGAUAACUUCGGGAAACCGGAGCUAAUACCGGAUAAUAUAUUGAGCCGCAUGGUUCAAUAGUGAAAGACGGUUUUGCUGUCACUUAUAGAUGGAUCUGGGCCGCAUUAGCUAGUUGGUAGGGUAACGGCUUACUAAGGCGACGAGGCGUAGCCGACCUGAGAGGGUGAUCGGCGACACGGGAAGGGAGACACGGUCCAGACUCCUACGGGAGGCAGCAGUAGGGAAUCUGCCGCAAUGGGCGAAAGCCUGACGGAGCAACGCCGCGUGAGUGAUGAAGGUCUUCGGAUCGUAAAACUCUGUUAUUAGGGAAGAACAAAUGUGUAAGUAACUAUGCACGUCUUGACGGUACCUAAUCAGAAAGCCACGGCUAACUACGUG